UCGAGUUGUAAUUUUGAUUUAGAUGG
rnacentral:sRNA from 1 species